AGCGAACGCUGGCGGCAGGCCUAACACAUGCAAGUCGAACGAACCUUUCGGGGUUAGUGGCGGACGGGUGAGUAACACGUGGGAACGUGCCUUUAGGUUCGGAAUAACUCAGGGAAACUUGUGCUAAUACCGAAUGUGCCCUUCGGGGGAAAGAUUAAAUGCCUUUUGAGCGGCCCGCGGCCGGUUAGCUUGUUGGGUGAGGUAAUGGCUCACCAAGGCGACGAUCAGUAGCUGGGCUGAGAGGAUGAUCAGCCACAUUGGGACUGAGACACGGCCCAAACUCCUACGGGAGGCAGCAGUGGGGAAUCUUGCGCAAUGGGCGAAAGCCUGACGCAGCCAUGCCGCGUGAAUGAUGAAGGUCUUAGGAUUGUAAAAUUCUUUCACCGGGGACGAUAAUGACGGUACCCGGAGAAGAAGCCCCGGCUAACUUCGUG
rnacentral:rRNA from 1 species